ensembl:lncRNA
CAGACACUGUCACCAGAGCUCAUAAAUGUAAAAUUUACACUAUCUACAGAACUGUCACCCCGGGAAAACACAUGUGUAGGACAGUGUGUAUAGGCCUACAAGACAUUGCCCGAAAAAUGUGUCUUCUAGUUUAAACAAAACUCUCGAUUCUUUUAAGCAACACUUUAAACAUUUUACGUCCUAAAGGGUUAGGCUUAGAAGGCAUGUAAUACGCACGUUUCUUAUAAAACACUGUCUUUAAAACAUUUACCUCCUAAAGGGACCUAUUUAGAAGAGUGUUAGAGGACCUGUAGUCUGAACAAAUACUAAGGACAUUACAAUGUAAGACAGCUUUGGCUGUGAGCUUGGCGCGGGUACUACGGUGCUGCGUGUUUGAACAUAGACUUAGUAGUGCAAGAGGCUGUCAUCUGGAACCAUCACUGCAAGCAAGCAGGCCAGAGAGCUGUUUGGAGCCACAAUUGAGUCUGUGCCAGUCACAGCAGAAUAUACUGCUGUGUUAAAUGUGAUGACUGUGGCUAGUCCGGCUGAAGGCAUUCUCAGUGUUGAGGCAUUAGCCAAGCACACUGCUGAGGGUAUUCAGGACACUGACUCCAAAGCCCCCACAUCCACUAUCUCAACAAACAAUAAGACCAGCACCGUUGGAGCAAAGAAAAAUGAUGGCUCUAAUCCGACUGCUACAGUGGCUGGUCCAACUCACAGGCUCCCUAAUGACAAUGUGAGUCAGGAGGGUGAGCUGGGAGGCAUGAAUAGUAUACUGCCUGAUAAUUUCCUGGUAGAGAUACUGUCAAAGAGACUACAGGUAAGAACCACCACAAUGUUUAUGGACAACACAACAUGAUUUGACUGCAUUAUUGAACAUACUGUACUGUGUGUUUAACAUUCCUUUUCAAUGAUAUGUUUCUUUAUUAUUGCACAAAAUGCUUCCUUGCUUUGAUGUAUGUCAGUUAUGCAUUUCCAAUAUGCUGUAGCUUAGCGACUGCAACCGAGGCAUCGUGAUUGAUGGCUUGGAAACAAUGUACUGCCACUUUCCAAGCACUGUGCUCCAUGUCAUCAUCAAAGUCUUCAACAACCGCCAGCACAUCUAUGUUAUCAACCUCACUGACAGCUACUUUGAAUUCAGAUCCAGAGAGAGAGCUCAACUGGAGAUGACAGAGGCCUUACAAAGGGAAUAGACUGAAAGAGAAAAGCUGCAUGUGUAGGAGAUGGAUGAGGAUGAGUAUGACACCCUGUGUGAGGAAGAGAAAUCAUAUGCAGACCUUCAGCACUUGGAGAUGCUGAAGGAACAUAUGUACAGUAAGCAAGAGAGGGAGCAGGA